UACGGAGGGUGCGAGCGUUGUCCGGAAUCACUGGGCGUAAAGGGCGCGUAGGCGGCGCGGGGAGUCAACGGUGAAAGCUCGGCGCUCAACGCCGAGUCGGCCGUCGAUACUCCCGUGCUCGAGCACUGUAGAGGCAGGUGGAAUUCCGGGUGUAGCGGUGGAAUGCGUAGAGAUCCGGAAGAACACCGGUGGCGAAGGCAGGUCUCUGGGCCACUACUGACGCUGAGAAGCGAAAGCAUGGGGAGCGAACAGG
rnacentral:rRNA from 1 species